GAUCAAGUGCGCAUGCACCUCGGACGGACUUUGCUGCUGCCUGGCUGUUAGUGUCCAGGGGUGCGGCGCGGAUGGAGCCUGCCCCUUCCAGCAGAGAUGCUAUGAUAAAGCUCCUCGCAAAGCCUUGUAGCACACCAUGAAGAUUCUAGGGCAUCUUCUAAACAGAGUGCAUUGUCCAUCUGCUGUUGAACCUGUCAAAGAGCAAAGAAGGCCCCUAAAUAUGAAUAUCAAAUGGACUCCUUGAAGAUUGUACUAGACUUAAUGGCUAAGUUGUAAAUUUAGAGGGUGAAAUAUUGGACUAGCCAGAAACGUGCCCGCUGUUGAUCUUGUUGGAAUCCAGAGCGUGCAGAUCUCCAGGAUGGUGGAAGGCACAAUGAGGACUAGGUCAUCAAAGGAGGCAGACCUGCGCUGACCCUGCUGUCCCAAUCCAAUACUCCCACACGCUGCAUCACACUGAAGCCAAGCUGAGUGUCUUGGGGCUGGUAGCUGAUGGAUGAGCUGGACAAUGAUUUUAAAGAACUCUGUGCUAACCUAUUGAGCAGGGUCAAGAAAAAGGCUGGAGAUGCCGAGGGAGGGAGGAAGGUUCAGAGUGGGACAAGGAGCACUGCAACAAAAAGCAAAUUAAAAAAGAGUAAGUCAGCUGCUAAGAGCAAAAGCCAGCAUGACUCCUCUGUUGGAAAGAGAGUGGGCUGGCCAGGGUGCAUGGACCCCAAUGAGCAGGCAUUGGGGCAUGAACCAGAAGGUGAAGCUACAGCCUGUGGAAAUGAUGGGCCUCUACUGGGAGAUGGAAAUGGAGACCCUCCUUCUGCCAUUCAUUUGGAUGCUAUGGCACCAAACUGUAUCCAGAACAGCCUGGCAGGCAGUGACAAGCGCAGAUCAUCCUUUGCUCCUGCUGCAGAACCAGCAACCUCCACCUCAUCCCCUGCAAAGACGCUCCAGAUCUCAGGACGCAGGCUGCGGGUGGCAGAGCUGGUGCUGGAGAGGAUGCAGCAGUUUAAGAGAGUGGAACCAAGACAGCUGAAACACGCCCUGGGCAGCAGCUUGCCAGAGACAGUAACAGAUGGAAACAUCCCUGAUGUGAGCCAGGAGAAGAACCAACCAGGGAACGG
rnacentral:lncRNA from 1 species